UACGUAGGAGACGAGCGUUGUCCGGAAUUACUGGGCGUAAAGCGCGUGUAGGCGGAUGAGCAAGUCUGCUGUGAAAGCUCCUGGCUUAACCGGGAGUGGUCGGUGGAAACUGCUCGUCUGGAGGACGGUAGAGGUAGGUAGAAUUCCCGGUGUAGUGGUGAAAUGCGUAGAGAUCGGGAGGAAUACCUGUGGCGAAGGCGGCCUACUGGGCCGGACCUGACGCUGAGACG
rnacentral:rRNA from 1 species